GUGGGUCAGUGAAAGUGUCAUAAACCUAAUGUGGUCGGUGCAGAGGCAGGAUUUCCGCUCGACACAGGCCGAUCUGACCAUUUCACUUCCAGAGUUGUGCCGGUGGAGGUGGCUGGGAAGAGACGACAGAUGUGGGUGUUGAGGAGGAUGGUCUCUGUGGGACCUCUGGCCGCUGUUAGAGUCAAGAACGCUCUAACUGCUGCCAGUUACACCGGCGGCGCCCGGCCGCUUGGUGCCUGGGCCGUUCUGGGUGGUCGCACACGGCAAUACUCGGAGGCCCGGGCGCCCCCCGAAAUCCAUCUGCAGCGUUUCGACGGCAGCAUCUCGGGAAUUGCAACAGUUUUAAUGAACAGACCUCAUGCAAGAAAUUCCCUCGGAAAAGUGUUUGUUAUGCAGCUUGAAGAAGUCGUUGAAAAUCUGCAAAAGGACAAAAGUGUACGUGUCGUAUUGUUUAAGAGCCAAGUCAAAGGAGUUUUCUGUGCUGGUGCUGAUUUGAAAGAACGUGCUCAAAUGAGCAAUGCAGAAGUUGGCCAAUUUGUUCACAAGCUGCGAAGUUUAAUGAGCAAUAUAGCAUCCCUGCCCAUGCCCACAAUUGCUGCAAUAGAUGGCUACGCGCUUGGUGGUGGUCUGGAACUGGCAUUGGCAUGUGAUCUUCGUGUUGCGGCAUCUUCUGCCAAGAUGGGUCUUAUUGAAGUCACCAGAGGCCUCCUGCCUGGUGCUGGUGGCAGCCAGCGGCUGCCUCGUACUGUGGGAAUCGGCAAGGCAAAAGAACUUAUUUUCACCGGCCGACAGGUAGACGGUGAGCAAGCAGAGUCCAUAGGUCUAGUGAAUGAUGUUGUGACUCAGAAUGACUUGGGAGAUGCAGCUUAUCAAAAAGCUCUCAAUCUGGCCAGAGAGAUACUUCCACAGGGGCCAGUGGCUCUCAAGAUGGCAAAGCAAGCAAUAAACAGAGGCAUUGAGGUCGAUAUAACAUCAGGAAUGGCAGUUGAGGAAAUGUGCUAUGCUCAGGUCAUACCUACAAAAGACCGAUUGGAGGGGAUGGCAGCAUUUAAGGAAAAACGACUACCCCACUUUACUGGAGAAUGAAAUGAAAUAUAUGUCCAAACUGUCAAAAAUUUUAAUUACAUUCACAAAUCUCAGAUGGUGACAAGAGAGCGUACAGGAGUGAGAUAUGUCAACUAGUGGAGUGGUACUGCAGCAACAGCCUGGCACUCGUCAGAUGAAAGAGCUGAUUGUGGACUUCAGGAAGGGUUUUAGCACUUCCUGCUUGGACGCAAUGAAAAACCUAUUGCAGUAACUGGAGGAAACAAAAAAGUUCUUAAAAAAGGCAAAUAUCCUGAAACUCAAAAUGGCAAAAUAAUUGUUACCUAAUGUGCUCAAUGAAGCUCUUCUUCAUUAGAUGAGGAUGGAGUUCUUUUACUUCUGCUAUGUUGUUCUAAAAUAAAAAAAAAUGUUAUUUGAUUAAGUAUUGGA